CAUUUCUAAAUAUUGAUGUUUGUUUGUGUUGCUCUUAUAGAUACUGAAUUUUUUGCUUCUGUUGCGAUCUUUAAUGGUGACAGGAACAACCUCGAAUUACUUUUUAGACAAUAGAAUUAAUAAAGACGAGAUCCUUUUCCCUGGCGUUGGCUGCUUCUUGGUUGUAGUUUGCCUUGCUUCUACUGUCCACUCAUCUAAUGCAGUUGAUAAUAAAGAAAAGCUUGAAGGUUUUUCAUCUAAAGAGGGGUGUUUGGGAAAAGCACUCUCAUUGGACUGUCCAUAUGUUUCUUUGCUGGUGUUUGCUUUUCUCUAUUCUCACCAACAUUCAACUUGGCAACAAAUGAUCAAUGGCAUACAUUGAAAGAUGGGGUUCCUCACUUGGUUGUCUACACUGCAUUCUUUUACUUCUCAAUAUCUUGCUUUUUCCUUGCUAUAAUCCUCACAUCACAUUCCUUUACUACCCUGUGCUGGACUUACCGAAAUCAUCAUUCAAGGCUUAUAUGUUGAAUAUUUAAGACUACUUGAAUACUUUAAGAACAUUUUGUUGUUGAUGAUAGUGUUGAAUGUUUUCAACUAAUUUGUGGAUUGUUAAUAUAAUGUUGAAUGUUUUUACUA